rnacentral:rRNA from 1 species
GACGGAGGGGGCUAGCGUUGUUCGGAAUUACUGGGCGUAAAGAGUGCGUAGGUGGUUUAGUAAGUUGGAAGUGAAAGCCCGGGGCUUAACCUCGGAAUAGCUUUCAAAACUACUAAUCUAGAGUGUAGUAGGGGAUGAUGGAAUUCCUAGUGUAGAGGUGAAAUUCUUAGAUAUUAGGAGGAACACCAGUGGCGAAGGCGGUCAUCUGGGCUACAACUGACACUGAUGCACGAAAGCGUGGGGAGCAAACAGG